UUUUUUGAAGUUUGGGAGUAUACGAGUAUAGUAUACGUACCUACUCCCCUUCUUUUUUUUUUUACGAAAGAAAAACGGUUGAACCGAUACUUUGAAGGGUUGUGUACGUUUCCUCUUCUGAUGUUUGGAAUGAUCGAUAAUUCGGGACGAUUUAUAGACGACGCUUGGACUGCGAUUUGGUUGUUUCCACGUUGACGACUUGGUAUAUGUCGGUUUCGAGAAAAUUGCCAGAAACGAAUCGGUUUUAAGACGACGUUCAUGUCUCUAACUUUUUCUCUCUUUAGGAAGCGAGCUUGAUAUGCGUGGCGAUCGUUUCUCGACUUUCGGAGAGUUUAGAUCGGUUUGCAAAAUCUUAGUUCUCUCGAAGAUGCAGUUUUGUCCCUUCUCAGUUUUGCGGGCCCAUUUCCGUUUCCUAUUCUCGUGUAUGUUCGUCAUUUCCGAUAUUGGUGUUUAUCCUUUGAAACUUGACAUUUAUCUUCCGAACUUGACUGUUAUCUUCUCCUUAGAUAAGACGUCGAUUUUUGUAAAAAGGUUCAACGUAAUCGUAUAGUUAAGGCGGCUAAGGUGUCAAGUAAACCGUUGCCGUUUUAUACGAUUAAUCUGAAUCCAUGCGAGAAAAUAGGUCUUUGCGGUUUUUUUUUUUUUUUAUAUCAUAAAGUUUCAAUGGUAACUUCAAUCGAGGCGAAACAAGAGACGUUUCGAUCGAGAUUCAAAAGUGAACGCAAAGAUGGAGGUAGGGUGAGCAGAAACAAGCCAAGAAGUUUAAGAUGAGUUUUACUUGUUUUUGUCGUAAAAUCUCAACGGAAACUCCGAUUGAGACGAAACGAAAAGCGUUUCGAUGAGAAUUCAAAGGAGAACGCAAAGGAGGACCCCUUUGAGGCCUGACAGGUCGCUAUAGCGAGUGAGG
rnacentral:lncRNA from 1 species